CAAACAGAACCUGGGGAGUCAAACACCACCUGGGGAGUCAAACAGCACCCGCGUGUCUGAAACACAACACUGUGAUGGCUGUAAGAGCUAGUGUCAGAUAAACACGCCAGUCUUCUGAAGCACAACACUGUGAUGGCUGUAAGAGCUAGUGUCAGGUAAACACGCCCGUCUUCUGAAGCACAACACUGUGAUGGCUGUAAGAGCUAGUGUCAGGUAAACACGCCCGUCUUCUGAAGCACAACACUGUGAUGGCUGUAAGAGCUAGUGUCAGGUAAACACGCCCGUCUUCUGAAGCACAACACUGUGAUGGCUGUAAGAGCUAGUGUCAGGUAAACACGCCCGUCUUCUGAAGCACAACACUGUGAUGGCUGUAAGAGCUAGUGUCAGGUAAACACGCCCGUCUUCUGAAGCACAACACUGUGAUGGCUGUAAGAGCUAGUGUCAGGUAAACACGCCCGUCUUCUGAAGCACAACACUGUGAUGGCUGUAAGAGCUAGUGUCAGGUAAACACGCCCGUCUUCUGAAGCACAACACUGUGAUGGCUGUAAGAGCUAGUGUCAGGUAAACACGCCCGUCUUCUGAAGCACAACACUGUGAUGGCUGUAAGAGCUAGUCAGGUAAACACGCCAUUCUUUUCCCUUUUGAACCAUAAUUUAGUUGUUUUCCUCUUUCCGCUGAGAGCUGAGGGCUUUGCAAUGAGAGUUGAUGGAUUUCAAAUACCUCUCCUUUUGUUGAAACCUCUUAAACAUUGAG